rnacentral:rRNA from 1 species
AGAGCGAACGCUGGCGGCAGGCCUAAUACAUGCAAGUCGAACGGAUCCUUCGGGAUUAGUGGCGGACGGGUGAGUAACACGUGGGAACGUGCCCUUUGGUUCGGAACAACUCAGGGAAACUUGAGCUAAUACCGAAUGUGCCCUUCGGGGGAAAGAUUUAUCGCCAUUGGAGCGGCCCGCGUCUGAUUAGCUAGUUGGUGAGGUAAAGGCUCACCAAGGCGACGAUCAGUAGCU